rnacentral:lncRNA from 1 species
GCUGCAGGAACCAGACUGGGGGCGAGCUGAGCACCUGUAGUCAAUCACACGCAGGAAAAACCAGCUCUCACACCUGCUCCUCUGUAAAGCGUCUUCCCCAAGCCCACACGUAAUUUUGUUGCUGUCCUUGAAAGUAUUUCCCAAGAUCUCCAAACCGCUUUAAACUUCCAAGGUCUGAGCCUGACCUGGCCUCGCUAACAAAGGGUUCCACUGAUGCCGACUCUAAGAAGAAAGUUUUCAAGGUUCUUCGUAUUUGAACUUUCUAUGGCUAGGCUUAUGUUUAAAAUAACCACACUGAUUUAAACAUGGUCUUAUAGUCUUCAGUGGCUCCCAGGUCUUGCCUCUCGGGUUUUUUUUCCUCUUUCCUUUGAAUGUGCCUUAACCUUCGUCUUGCUUUUAUUUACCUCUGAGUCUGGUUUAGAGCCACCUGGAAAUUGAAUGGAAUCUUUAGUCUAUUAGUCUAAUCUAGAGUCCUUACCUUCUGGCCUUUGCUCAUUGCAGAGCCCCCACAUUAUUAGUCAGUUGUACCACAGAUACUGUGUUACAUAAGGUGAGGAGAGGGAGGUGGUGUUAUCAGUUCCACUUUUUCCAGGCUAGAGUGCAGUGGCCCGAUCUCGGUGCACUGCAACCUCUGCUUCCCGGGUUCAAGCGAUUUUCCUGCCUCAGCCUCUCAUUUUAUCUUGGAUAAAAGAGAAGCUUUGAAAGAUUGCCUCCCUAUGUGUACAGUCACUGUAGGCAUGUAUUUGUGUACUGUUUACUUAGUCAUGUCAAUGAGGGCAAUAAAAAA